UACGUAGGGACCGAGCGUUGUCCGGAAUCAUUGGGCGUAAAGAGCGUGUAGGCGGCCACUUAAGUCUUGCGUGAAAUCUUGCGGCUCAACCGCGGGCUUGCAGCCGAUACGGGCAGGCUAGAGUUUGGUAGGGGAGACUGGAAUUCCUGGUGUAGCGGUGAAAUGCGUAGAUAUCGUAAGGAAGACCAGUGGCGAAGGCGGGUCUCUGGACAGUUCCUGACGCUGAGGCACGAAGGUCAGGGGAGCAAACGGG
rnacentral:rRNA from 1 species